rnacentral:lncRNA from 13 species
UGUCCCUGCCCCCCUCACUUUUUCCUGCUUUGCCAAUAUCUGAUUCCAAGAAAACGGCUCAAAUAGAAUGCAUAAUAACGUCAUAAUUUUCAUUCCAAAGUCUGAGAAGCCACCGUGAUCACCUCAGUUUGUGUGUCCCUUACUCCUAAGAAAAUUGAGGGGAGAACUGCUGAUGGAUUUGCUGGGGAUACCAUGCUCUGCAGUUGCUAUUGCAGGAGAGGGAAGGAUCCACGAGAGUGCAAGGUUGAGAAGAGUGCAGAAGCUGAGCAUUUGGAAGAAGUCACACCAAACUUCUGCAAGCAAAUUUGUCUCCAGUCUUCAGGGACACCAACUCCCACUUUCAACAUUUCCAUCAGCAGGGAAGAAGAAAACAUCAAUAUCCCGAAGGAAUGGAGAUGUUUCUAUGGAAAACCUAGGAAUUUUAGUCCAUAACAGAUCUGGCAUAAAAAAAAAUCAAAGAGAUCAAAGGCAGAGCUCCCUGGAGUAGAGAUGCGUCUCUGAAUUAAAGAUGGACGAUGCAGACUACAAAGUGCUUUUUUCUUCUUUAUUCAGUCCUCUGUUUCCAUUUCAAGGGAGGCGCUGGUCUCGUCAUAUCUAAACUAGACAGUCAUUGCAAGCAAUGUCAUAAAGGAGAUAAAAGAGGGAGUGCGGGGCACCAAGAGCUCAGUGUUCUCUGUCCUAGUUGGUUUUCCACCCAUCUCCAGUAUUCUCAGCACAGGUGUAAGCCCAGCCCUACUCAUAGAAGGAGCUUGUGGAAAAACCCACCCCUACCUUCAAGUCUGUAGGGGCACUUAGGAAAAAUACGAUUCCCUGAAAUCAGGGGAUGAGAAGAGGUGUUAGGUGGUUUUCUUGCCUCACCAAAUUAAGCUUGGCACAAUAUCAAAGGCUCUGUGUGACAGCUCUGGGAUGGGGAGGAGAUAGCAGGAUCUUUAGGCCCAGAUGUGGACUAGAGUCGGAUAUAGAGUACCCUGGGUCAGGGGAAUUUGGGGCAGCCCCAAUAGCUGUCUUUGCAGACAUGGGUUCCUGGCAGUUCUUCCAAGACAGAGGCCCCAAAGAAAGAGACAUCCCUUUGGAGGGGGCGGUGGUCUAGUAAAGUAAGACAUCUCCUUGCCAGACAGCCUUUCAAUCUGCAUAUCUAAGAAACAGAUCUCUAAAUGUUUUCUAGAUGCUGACAAGAAAGACUAGGUGACUUCCAGUGUGAAGGCAAAGCUUAUUUUAAAUAGUUGAACGUUUCAUCGACCUUUGAUUAGCACUGUGAUUACCUAGUGAUUUCAAUUCUUUUUAAACCUGAAGUCGAGUAGAGUUAGGGAUCAUGAUGCCCAGGCAUGUCAGUAGAAGUGCACGGAAAGGAAAAGACCAGCAGCAGCCCCAGAUGACGGUCUUCUCCACUUCCAAAGAUCAUUCUCUGGCCUGGCUCACAACGUGUUCGUGUUUGUUCGCGUGCGCGUCCGCGGGGCGGCUUGUGGGCCUGCUGUCCGGCCUCUUUCUGACCCUACUUGUAGCUGGCAAAUUAAAACAAUAAAUUUUCUAAAGUUGAAGCCCA